GAUAUUUAGUGAAAAUAAAACAGUCUGGAUUCAAAAGGUUGAAAUAGAUAUUCUCCAUAAGGCGUCAUGAUACAGAAAUAAAGAGAAAAACAUACAGUAUUUAUA